rnacentral:rRNA from 1 species
GUGCCAGCCGCCGCGGUAAUACCGGCAGCCCGAGUGAUGGCCGAUCUUAUUGGGCCUAAAGCGUCCGUAGCUGGCUGCGCAAGUCCGUCGGGAAAUCCACUCGCCCAACGAGUGGGCGUCCGACGGAAACUGCACAGCUUGGGACCGGAAGGCUCGAAGGGUACGUUCGGGGUAGGAGUGAAAUCCUAUAAUCCUGGACGGACCACCAAUGGGGAAACCACCUCAGGAGGAUGGACCCGACAGUGAGGGACGAAAGCUAGGGUCUCGAACCGGAUUAGAUACCCUUGUAGUCC